AUGAACCUGGGAAAAGUAGUGAGUGGUAGCAAGGUGGUAGUUUAAUUUUUGUCUCAGCAUCCAACUCUAUUUUAAUUGGCAAUAAAUUAUAUUAAUCUUCCCCAAGUUGAGUCUCUUUUUGCCCAUAAGUGAUGUCCUUGACCCACUAACUUUUCCAUCUCACUUUCUCCUCCUUUCAGAAUGCAUUGCUGUAGCUUCUGCAUGGGGCUAGCCAGGUCUGUCUCCAGGAAGGGGACACUGCAGCAGUCUUGCCUCCUAGGGAACCACUUUCAUGUCACGAUUGAGGUGCUUUUGGGGUCCUGAUAAACAAACAACUGCCUGAGAGAAGAAUCUCCCUGAACUGAACAAAUGUGUCACUUUUGAAUAAGGAUUCAUGAAAAGGCAGAAGAGGAGAAGAAAAAAGAAUAAAGGUUGUUUUAAACACUUCGAGCUGUGCACAAGAAAAGAGACAUGAAAGAAAAUACGACUGGAAUGUCUUUUUGUGAGCAUGAUGUACGAAUGCCAAUCUUUUUUUUUAAUUUGGCCUUAAUCUGUUGCUUGUUUUAUAACUCUCAUAUAUAUUUGCAUGGUAUUUUUGAGGAAUUUCUCUUUAAAUUGCCUUUUUAUGUCUUUUUUCAUACCCACGGUUUGUUCCUCCAUUUGUGGUGAUGUGGAAUGGGUUAGAGAGCAGGAUUGCCACAGGUGGGGGGCAAGUCAAUAUGAAAGUGUGGGCACUUGAGAUGUGUUGUGCAGGGCUGUAUGUUUGAGCUGCUUUCUCAGGGCUACCGCAGUAGGCGUGUGUUAGGUGUGUCCCAUGCUUGACAUUAACUGAUGAAAUUUAGGAAAAGGUCUUCACUGAGUGCAGUAGGCUUUGUUGGACUGCAGCAAUUUGAGAUGCAGCAGGGAUGAAACAAAUGGAAGCAGUGGGUUCUUUGGCUGCAGCUGGACAGGAGAAGAUGAUCAAGUCCAGGCUGUGCUGUCUGGGAUGACUUUUUGAACUUCAGGCAAGUUGUGAGAAGCUUCACUCAGUACAAGAAAGAAAUUAAUGCUGUUUACCUACAAAAUGGGUGUAGAAGGAGACUUCAGGUAGCAAACUGCUAAUUGAGCAAUAUUCUGUCUGGCAAAGGGAAAUUAGGAUCUUGCCUAGUUUAUUGUAUGUUCUAGAUAAGCUAUUGCCUUCUGAGAAAUCAUUGAGAGUUUUCCCUCUGUUUGGCUCAGCACUUAGAAAACCAGUGGGCAGUGAGUUUCACCUUACAUUUGUGAUGUUUUGUAAAAGAGAAAUUCUAAAACUACUCACGUUCUUCUGUUUGUUUUCUCUAGAUGAGGUAUUAAUUAUGUUCUCAUAGGGGUUUUUUUUGUCAGAGUUUUUAAUGAUAUGUGCUGCUAUUACUAGUAUUUAAAUGUUAGAGUGGGCUUUUCUUAGCUCAUUUCCUGACUGCUGUUCUUAACACCUUGGGGAGCCAUAGAGUAUGAACUAUUUCACUUUCAGCAUCUCAUUGUUUAUUCAUAAUGGCAUUGUAAAAAUGCAGAAAAAACCAAAAAGAGCAGUCUAAUUGAGUAUAAAUUUCUCCUAAAAAGUGCAUGUGUAUGUACAGAAAUAUGUCCACCUGUAAAAGAGAUUAAAUAAUAUUUAAUUUUAGCAUUAUAUUGUGUUCCACAUUGUGUUUUACAGAAUAUUUCAGAAAACCUUGGGAAAAUUCUAUGUAUAAUUAAAAUACAUGUCAGCACCU